rnacentral:rRNA from 1 species
ACGAACGCUGGCGGCGUGCCUAAUACCUGCAAGUAGAACGCACAGUUUAUACCGUAGCUUGCUACACCAUAAACUGUGAGUUGCGAACGGGUGAGUAACGCGUAGGUAACCUGCCUGGUAGCGGGGGAUAACUAUUGGAAACGAUAGCUAAUACCGCAUAAUAUUAAUUAUUGCAUGAUAAUUGAUUGAAAGAUGCAAUUGCAUCACUACCAGAUGGACCUGCGUUGUAUUAGCUAGUAGGUGAGGUAACGGCUCACCUAGGCGACGAUACAUAGCCGACCUGAGAGGGUGAUCGGCCACACUGGGACUGAGACACGGCCCAGACUCCUACGGGAGGCAGCAGUAGGGAAUCUUCGGCAAUGGACGAAAGUCUGACCGAGCAACGCCGCGUGAGUGAAGAAGGUUUUCGGAUCGUAAAGCUCUGUUGUAAGAGAAGAACGGGUGUGAGAGUGGAAAGUUCACACUGUGACGGUAUCUUACCAGAAAGGGACGGCUAACUACGUG